rnacentral:tRNA from 1 species
GCCCGGAUAGCUCAGUGGUAGAGCAGUCCCUUCGUAAGGGAAAGGUCAACGGUUCAAAUCCGUUUCCGGGCU